rnacentral:rRNA from 1 species
GACGUAGGGCGCGAGCGUUGUCCGGAUUUAUUGGGCGUAAAGAGCUCGUAGGCGGCUUGUUACGUCGACUGUGAAAACCCGCGGCUCAACCGUGUGGUCUGCAGUCGAUACGGGCAGGCUAGAGUUCGGUAGGGGAGACUGGAAUUCCUGGUGUAGCGGUGAAACGCGCAGAUAUCGGGAAGAACACCCGUGGCGAAGGCGGUUCUCUGGGACGGUACUGACGCUGAGACGCGAAAGCGUGGGGAGCGAACAGG